rnacentral:rRNA from 1 species
CGGCGCACGGGUGCGUAACGCGUAUAGAACCUACCUUUUACAGAGGAAUAGCCUUUAGAAAUGAAGAUUAAUGCCUCAUGGUAUUGUAGACUGGCAUCAGUUUAUAAUUAAAGAUUUAUCGGUAAAAGAUGGCUAUGCGUCCUAUUAGUUAGUUGGUAAGGUAACGGCUUACCAAGACAGCGAUAGGUAGGGGUCCUGAGAGGGAGAUCCCCCACACUGGUACUGAGACACGGACCAGACUCCUACGGGAGGCAGCAGUGAGGAAUAUUGGACAAUGGAGGAGACUCUGAUCCAGCCAUGCCGCGUGUAGGAAGAAUGCCCUAUGGGUUGUAAACUACUUUUAUACAGGAAGAAACACUGGUAUGUAUACCAGCUUGACGGUACUGUAAGAAUAAGGACCGG